rnacentral:tRNA from 1 species
AGGGAUGUAGCUCAGUGGUAGGGCGUGUGCUUGGUAGCACAAGGUCCUGGGUUCCAUCCUCAGUGCCUCUG